rnacentral:lncRNA from 1 species
GGAGGGAAAGUGGGCGGGGCCUGGGUGGGCGGUGGUGGCGCUCGAGGGCGGCUGCAGGACCGCGGCCGGACGGUAGAGGCCUCCCUUCCGAGGCGGCGGCUCGGACGUCGAGCGCCGGGGCUCUGCUCGCCGGCUCGUCCUUCCCGGCGCGGUCCGGCACGGCCGGGCCCAGCGCGGCCCAUACCCGCCUGCUCUCCUCCCCCUGCAGGCGGCAGCGCCCGUUUUCUGAGACCACUGUAGGUAACCCAAACUCUGGAAAGUGAAAACACAAAUGGGAGAACUAUUGUAAUGCAGAAGGACACAUCCCAAAUUCCCAUCAGAGUAAUGAUGUCAUCAUAUAUCACACAGCCUUUGAAAACCUCCCUCUAAAUAAAUGAAAGAACAAGAGAGGAAAAGGUAAGUGAUGUCUUGAUCUUGUGUGAAAUAGUUUUGACCCCACAGAUGCC